rnacentral:rRNA from 1 species
UUAAGUGACUAAGCGUACAAGGUGGAUGCCUUGGCAAUCAGAGGCGAAGAAGGACGUGCUAAUCUGCGAAAAGCUUGGAUGAGUCGAUAAGAGGCGUUUAAUCCAAGAUAUCCGAAUGGGGAAACCCAGUAGAUGAAGAAUCUACUAUCAACAAGUGAAUACAUAGUUUGUUGAGGCAAACCGGGAGAACUGAAACAUCUAAGUACCCCGAGGAAAAGAAAUCAACCGAGAUUUCGUCAGUAGCGGCGAGCGAAAGCGAAAGAGCCUGUUAAUGAUAGCAGCAGAGAUAGAGGAAUAAGCUGGGAAGCUUAGCGACACAGGGUGAUAGCCCCGUACUCGACAUCCAGGCUGUGGUACUAAGUUAACGAGAAGUAGGGCGGGACACGUGAUAUCCUGUUUGAAGAUGGGGGGACCAUCCUCCAAGGCUAAAUACUCCUGAUUGACCGAUAGUGAACCAGUACUGUGAAGGAAAGGCGAAAAGAACCCCGGCGAGGGGAGUGAAAUAGAACCUGAAACCUUGUACGUACAAGCAGUGGGAGCCCGCAAGGGUGACUGCGUACCUUUUGUAUAAUGGGUCAGCGACUUAUAUUUUGUAGCGAGGUUAACCGAAUAGGGGAGCCGAAGGGAAACCGAGUCUUAACUGGGCGUCUAGUUGCAAGGUAUAGACCCGAAACCCGGUGAUCUAGCCAUGGGCAGGUUGAAGGUUGGGUAACACUAACUGGAGGACCGAACCGACUAAUGUUGAAAAAUUAGCGGAUGACUUGUGGCUGGGGGUGAAAGGCCAAUCAAACCGGGAGAUAGCUGGUUCUCCCCGAAAUCUAUUUAGGUAGAGCCUUGAGCGGACACCUUUGGGGGUAGAGCACUGUUUCGGCUAGGGGUCCAUCCCGGAUUACCAACCCGAUGCAAACUACGAAUACCAAAGAGUGAUACUCAGGAGACACACGGCGGGUGCUAACGUCCGUCGUGGAGAGGGAAACAACCCAGACCGCCAGCUAAGGUCCCAAAGUCUAUAUUAAGUGGGAAACGAAGUGGGAAGGCUUAGACAGCUAGGAUGUUGGCUUAGAAGCAGCCAUCAUUUAAAGAAAGCGUAAUAGCUCACUAGUCGAGUCGGCCUGCGCGGAAGAUGUAACGGGGCUGAAAUAUAGCACCGAAGCUGCGGCAUCAGUAGCAAUACUGUUGGGUAGGGGAGCGUUGUGUAAGCGGAAGAAGGUGUGUUGAGAAGCAUGCUGGACGUAUCACAAGUGCGAAUGCUGACAUAAGUAACGAUAAAACGGGUGAAAAACCCGUUCGCCGGAAGACCAAGGGUUCCUGUCCAACGUUAAUCGGGGCAGGGUGAGUCGGCCCCUAAGGCGAGGCUGAAGAGCGUAGUCGAUGGGAAACAGGUUAAUAUUCCUGUACUUGGAUAAACUGCGAUGUGGGGACGGAGUAGGUUAGGUUAUCGCACUGUUGGAUAUGUGCGUUUAAGUUGGUAGGUGGGAAGUUUAGGCAAAUCCGGACUUCCUUAACACUGAGAGAUGAUGACGAGGCUCUACGGAGCUGAAGUAACCGAUACCACACUUCCAGGAAAAGCCACUAAGCUUCAGGUUUAUCUAAACCGUACUGAAAACCGACACAGGUGGUCAGGUAGAGAAUACUCAGGCGCUUGAGAGAACUCGGGUGAAGGAACUAGGCAAAAUAGCACCGUAACUUCGGGAGAAGGUGCGCCGGCGUAGAUUGUAAGGGCUAGCCCCUGAAGGUUGAACCGGUCGAAGAUACCAGCUGGCUGCAACUGUUUAUUAAAAACACAGCACUCUGCAAACACGAAAGUGGACGUAUAGGGUGUGAUGCCUGCCCGGUGCUGGAAGGUUAAUUGAUGGUGUAAUCGAAAGAGAAGCUCCUGAUCGAAGCCCCAGUAAACGGCGGCCGUAACUAUAACGGUCCUAAGGUAGCGAAAUUCCUUGUCGGGUAAGUUCCGACCUGCACGAAUGGCAUAAUGAUGGCCAGGCUGUCUCCACCCGAGACUCAGUGAAAUUGAAAUCGCCGUGAAGAUGCGGUGUACCCGCGGCUAGACGGAAAGACCCCGUGAACCUUUACUAUAGCUUGACACUGAACAUUGAAUUUUGAUGUGUAGGAUAGGUGGGAGACUUAGAAGUAGUCACGCCAGUGAUUAUGGAGUCGUCCUUGAAAUACCACCCUUUAACGUUUGAUGUUCUAACGAAGAUUGCGGAACGCGGUCUCGGACAGUGUCUGGUGGGUAGUUUGACUGGGGCGGUCUCCUCCCAAAGAGUAACGGAGGAGCACGAAGGUUUGCUAAUCACGGUCGGACAUCGUGAGGUUAGUGCAAUGGUAUAAGCAAGCUUAACUGCGAGACAGACAAGUCGAGCAGGUACGAAAGUAGGUCAUAGUGAUCCGGUGGUUCUGAAUGGAAGGGCCAUCGCUCAACGGAUAAAAGGUACUCCGGGGAUAACAGGCUGAUACCGCCCAAGAGUUCAUAUCGACGGCGGUGUUUGGCACCUCGAUGUCGGCUCAUCACAUCCUGGGGCUGAAGUAGGUCCCAAGGGUAUGGCUGUUCGCCAUUUAAAGUGGUACGCGAGCUGGGUUUAGAACGUCGUGAGACAGUUCGGUCCCUAUCUGCCGUGGGCGUUGGAGAAUUGGUUGGGGCUGCUCCUAGUACGAGAGGACCGGAGUGGACGCACCACUGGUGUUCCGGUUGUGUCGCCAGACGCAUUGCCGGGUAGCUAAGUGCGGAAGAGAUAAGUGCUGAAAGCAUCUAAGCACGAAACUUGCCAAGAGAUGAGUUCUCCCAGGUUAUAAACCUGUAAGGGUUGUUUAAGACUAAGACGUAGAUAGGUGCGGUGUGUAAGUGAUGUGAGUCAUUGAGCUAACGCAUACUAAUUGCCCGAGAGGCUUAACU